CAAAAAAAGCGUAAGCAUUAAUACUUAAUCAUGCCGAGGCCCAUUCAUGUCUUCAUCUUCAUCCUCCUGAUCCUUCUCCCUGAAAUGUCACUAGGCCAAGAUGGAAGCAUGGAGGAGAGGAUCAAACCUGCACAACAUCCUUUAAGCAAGGUGGGACCCAGAAAGGUUAUGGUGGAAGUCACGCUUGACUACGACGCUGGAGGAGCAAACUGCAAACACGAUCCAAAGAGGAAGUCGGGAAACUGCGG